AUGAAGGGCCUCAUUGUGCGGCUGUGUCCUAGAGGGGCUCUGUCUGGGAGCUAUUUCGGGCUGGUGCGGCGGCUGGUGGAGGCCUGUCCAAGGCUCGAAGUCAUCAAGCGCUCCGUCUGCAUUGAGGGUGCCCGUAGGGUCCUUGCCCGUGCUGAGGUGCACUGGGGCAAGCUGGAUGCUGAGAAGCUUGUGAAGGACGGGCCACCGCCGGGGAAAGAGCAUCGCAAGCCCGAGAAUUACUAUAAGGAUGUUCUGAAGGGUGUCUGCCUUGUGGCGGAUGAAUGUUCUAGGGAUGUAAUUUUUGAGUGA
rnacentral:rRNA from 1 species